rnacentral:tRNA from 1 species
UAAAAGGUGGCUGAGGUUAGGCGUUAGAUUGUAAAUCUAGGUACGAGUAAAUACUCCCUUUUAA